rfam:Dipodomys ordii contig_68393, whole genome shotgun sequence.
GGUGGCUCAGUGGUAGAGCACUUGCCUUGCAUGCAUGAGGCCCUGGGUUCGGUUCCUCAGCACCA